GUGGGGAAUAUUGGGCAAUGGGGGCAACCCUGACCCAGCGACGCCGCGUGAGGGAAGAAGGCCUUAGGGUCGUAAACCUCUGUUGUGUGGGAAGAAGGAAGUGACGGUACCACACGAGGAAGUCCCGGCUAACUACGUGCCAGCAGCCGCGGUAAUACGUAGGGGACGAGCGUUGUCCGGAAUUACUGGGCGUAAAGGGCGCGUAGGCGGUCAUUUAAGUCAGCUGUGAAAUGGUCCGGCUCAACCGGAUGAGGCGGUUGAAACUGGAGGACUGGAGUGCUGGAGAGGCAAGUGGAAUUCCCAGUGUAGCGGUGAAAUGCGUAGAUAUUGGGAAGAACACCGGUGGCGAAGGCGACUUGCGGGCCAGCAACUGACGCUGAGGCGCGAAAGCCAGGGGAGCAAACGGGAUUAGAUACCCUGGUGUCC
rnacentral:rRNA from 1 species